GUGCUGAAGCAACCCAGGUGAGGACUUCCACUGUGUGUGUCCCACAUUUUCCUCCUGGCAGACACAGAACAUCUCUGUCCUAUCCUCGGGGUAUUGGCCUGGCUCCUCGGGAUGGCCGAAUGCCCACUGGCCUCUCUGACCUCUAGCUGUUCAGUGUGUCCUUGUGUUCAGCAUUGCCAGGACUUCACCACAGUUCCUCUCAUGGUCCCUCUUCUUUCCGUCACAGCCAAAACAUUCAAGGAUCCAAGAAAAGGUGUUUCAAUCUUCUGGCUGGCCUGAGACUCCCCAGUGUCCAAUGCUCUGGAAUGGCAAAGGAACACAGCAAAGUUCCUGGAAGGAGAUCACGAUCCCCCGGAUGAGACCAGGCAAGAGCUAGGUCACUACAAAGAUGGAUGAUCCUGUCAAUUCCAUGUUCCUUUUUAUCUUGAUCUCACACUCUGCCUUGUAUUCCUCUGUGUCCUAGCACACACACACACACACACACACACACACACACACAAACUCACACUCCCACAGAGUCUUCUGGUACGAGCAAGCAGUGGUAGCAGAAUUUCCAUAACACAAAUACAGCCUAUUUGUCUAAAGUUAGGUUAAAGCAGAUCUUCACGGCUCUGUGAGCCUUUGCCUAUGAAAGCUGUUAGCAGUAGUGUUUAGGUUUUUACCUAAAAAGCAACAUGCUUAUUCUUCCCUUUCCUCCAAACUCCCUCAGGUUUGUCUCACCCCAACACUCUUCUUGGGGUAGACAGGCGCCUGGUGGUGGUGGAAGGGGUUGUCUCAGCUACUCUCAGAUCUGAUCUGUGCAUGUAUUGCUCGCAGUUCAUUGGGCACCAAUCCUUACUGUGCUGCUUGACUGUUUGCUAAUGGUAGAUUUAAAAGUUGCAAGCCUGUGGGGCCUGUCCACAACCCAGGCUGGCUAAACAAAAUACUGUCACAAGUGUUUGUCUGAGAAAUACAGAUGAACUUCUGAAUUCUAAUUUCUGGGACAGUGGAGGGACCUGGGAGGAAGUGCUAUGUCCUGAUGAAGGGAACAGGAGGCAGGAAAACAGCCUGGCUGCAUGCAUCUGGCCAGGCGUCCCCUCCAGGUCUACAUGCAGGAAACAGACAACACAUCUGCCUGGACCCCAGCCAGCUGCUGUGGAGAGCACAUCGUGGCUUGAAGCGUCUCAUCACAGGGAAAGGUACUCCUGCUUCCCAAGGAAGGGUAAUGAUCUGGGUCCCUAACCAUGGGGUGAACUCAGCGGCUUUCUGUGACUCCAGGACUAUGAAGAAAUAAAAACCUGCUGUUUACGCCCCAUGGCAUGCGGUGAUCUCUGUAGCAUCCCUAGAUGAUGAGCACAUCCCAUUUAGCAGUAAGUGACUUAUCUGAAGUCUCCGAACAAAUGAGACAAGGACCAAGCACUUUAGGCUUCUAACUUUUUUAUUUAUUUUUGCCUUCAUAGCAAGUUAUCUCCUAUUUUUGUCUUUUAAUAAGAAGGGGAAAUACAGACAUUUUAUACAGAGCAUUUGGAUAAGUAAAGCCAAGGGUGGUAGUGCACACCUAUAAACCCAGCACUCAGGAGGCUGAGGCAGGAGGAUCACUGAGAGUUUGAGGCCUGUCUGGGCUCCCUAGUUGAGUUCAAACCCAACCUGGACUACGUAGUAAAACUGUCACAAACCUCCUCCCCACAAAGAAAAGCAAUCUUUAUUAACUCCUCUUUAUUGUCACAAUUGUGUAUAUACCCAGGGUAGGAAAUUUAACUUUGGACUAACUGGGUUAACUCACGGCAGAAAAUGUAAAACCCUCAAGCCUAUUGCUGAAGGGUACAGCCUCUGUCUGUGAGGUCCAGGGGUUCUUCUGGGCUGCCGCAGGCCCUGCUGUUCUGUGGACAUGAUCCGGUCCCCUCAGAGUGGCCCCAGCAUUUCCAGAAGCUUCCUAAGUGCUCAUACCCUCUGGUCCAGAGUCACAUCCCCCUUGUUGUCUUUCACCCUUUGGGGUCUCCUGCUAAGCCUUCUCGGCCAUGUUAAAUUAAGUAAGCAGGAGGUCACUGACUUAACACUAUGUUCGUACUGUGGGUUCUCAGGAAGAAGCCAUAACUAACUGCGGAAUGUACUUUUCUAACAAACACCCAGGCACCAGCCAAUCACGGUAGCCAGAUGAUCACGCCAUGCCCGGUAUUUCAGAACUCACUGCACCAGACAUAAGAACUGGCCCCCAAAGACAAAAGAUGCCAUCAAGUUUUUUAUUUUUUUUAAACAAAAAGGCAGAUAGAUUCAGGAUUGCCCAAAGUGGAGCAUUUUAGGGAUGUACAGGCAGAAGACAGGACGAUCCCUGCACUCAGAGGGUGGCAAAGGUGGGCCACAGUGGACAGGAGCAUUCCUGGGCUAUCUCAGAAGCCAUUCGUGCAUCCAGCAGCAGCAAAGAUACGCUCUCAGCAUCAGCGGCCUGAACAACGAACACAGCCGAGAUCUUAAUGGCUUUGUCCACUGAGGCUGAGCUGUGUGCCAAGUUCACCUAGCUGACAAACACCAGCCAUGGCCCCGACGGCUGCUGCCACACCAGGCCAGAUCCUGACAGCUGAACCAGCCAGAAGCUCAGCGAUCAGGCGACUUCUCUAUGUCGCUCGGAGUGCAGCCAAUAAAAGCUCAUGGCCCACGCUGUUCCGGGGAGCUCUCUGAACCUGCCCAGAGUCUGAGUGAUGCCCAGUUUAUGGCAUCUAUGGCUGUUUUAUAUUGAAACAAAAAUCUGUUAAAUUUAGUUUGUUUAAAUGUUUUGUUUAAUGACUGGCAUGGCCACUGCCUCUCUAAGUGCUGCUCCUAUUAGUCUGGAAUCAGGGAGGCCCCAGUGCUUUCUGUUGUGUGACUUUGCCCCCAAAAGCCCCUCGAUUCAUCUCCCUGCUCCCCAAACACUGAGAUCAGUGACUCUGAAAAAAUGAUAAAAGGAAACU